UUUUGUGAACAGGUUAUUUUUAAAACACUCCAAAGGAAUACGAUAUUUGUGUGUUUUACCGACGUUAAAGUGGUUAGAAAUAAGCCUCACGUAGAGAGAUUUUGAUAACUAUGGAAAGGAAUUUUUAUGUUGUUGCUUUGAUAUUAUUGAUUUUUUACACCGGACAGUCAAAAUGUUUACUGUUCCUGUUUCAUGGAUGCUAUACGGGUUUCGAUUCGGACAAAUCCUUCAGCAGUAACUAUAUGUCGAUUGAAAUGUGUUCUAAAUUUUGUGAUGAGCGACACUACACCUGGAUAGCAACUUCGGGUCAGAUAGACGGAGGGGUUAUGGACUCACAUCCUGUUGCUACUUGCAGCUGCAGUAAACAACCGCCACAAACCGAAAUCAACGGGACACUCUGUAAUUCUCCUUGUCCAGGAAACGGAAAUGAAACAUGCGGGGGUCAAAAUACAACAUUUGUGUCAAUGUAUAGUAUAGUUCCAGACGGUAUGUGUACUUGUUAUAUAGAAUCAUGGACAAUUACUUCAGCAAUUAUGCAA